rnacentral:sRNA from 1 species
AAAGUGCUGAAGCAGGUCCACCCCGA